AUGAACGCUGGCGGCGUGCCUAAUACCUGCAAGUCGAGCGAACGGACGAGAAGCUUGCUUCUCUGAUGUUAGCGGCGGACGGGUGAGUAACACGUGGAUAACCUACCCAUAAGACUGGGAUAACUUCGGGAAACCGGAGCUAAUACCGGAUAAUAUUUUGAACCGCAUGGUUCAAAAGUGAAAGACGGUCUUGCUGUCACUUAUAGAUGGAUCCGCGCUGCAUUAGCUAGUUGGUAAGGUAACGGCUUACCAAGGCAACGAUGCAUAGCCGACCUGAGAGGGUGAUCGGCCACACUGGAACUGAGACACGGUCCAGACUCCUACGGGAGGCAGCAGUAGGGAAUCUUCCGCAAUGGGCGAAAGCCUGACGGAGCAACGCCGCGUGAGUGAUGAAGGUCUUCGGAUCGUAAAACUCUGUUAUUAGGGAAGAACAUAUGUGUAAGUAACUGUGCACAUCUUGACGGUACCUAAUCAGAAAGCCACGGCUAACUACGUG
rnacentral:rRNA from 1 species